AGCAGCCGCGGUAAUUCCAGCUCCAAUAGCGUAUAUUAAAGUUGUUGCAGUUAAAAAGCUCGUAGUUGAAUUUCGGGGUCAGUAGAUUGGUCAUGCCUCCGGUAUGUACUGGUCUUACUGGCUCCUCCUUCCUGAUGAACCGUAAUGCCAUUAAUUUGGUGUUGCGGGGAGACUGGACUGUUACUUUGAAAAAUUAGAGUGUUUAAAGCAGGCUAACGCUUGAAUACAUUAGCAUGGAAUAAUGAAAUAGGACGUUCGAUCUUAUUUUGUUGGUUUCUAAGAUUGACGUAAUGAUUAAUAGGGAUAGUUGGGGGCAUUAGUAUUCAAUUGUCAGAGGUGAAAUUCUUGGAUUUAUUGAAGACUAACUACUGCGAAAGCAUUUGCCAAGGAUGUUUUCAUUAAUCAAGAACGAAGUUAGGGGAUCGAAGACGAUCAGAUACCGUCGUAGUCUUAACCAUAAACUAUGCCGACUAGGGAUCGGAUGAUGUUAAUUUUUAAUGACUCAUUCGGCGCCUUAAC
rnacentral:rRNA from 1 species